rnacentral:rRNA from 1 species
GCAACGGUGAAACUCAAAGGAAUUGACGGGGGCCCGCACAAGCGGAGGAACAUGUGGUUUAAUUCGAUGAUACGCGAGGAACCUUACCCGGGCUUGAACUGAGGGGGAAUGAAUCAGAGAUGAUUCAGUCUUCGGACUCCCUUGGAGGUGCUGCAUGGUUGUCGUCAGCUCGUGCCGUGAGGUGUCGGCUUAAGUGCCAUAACGAGCGCAACCCUCAUCCUCGUUUGCCAUCAGGUAAUGCUGGGCACUCCGGGGAUACUGCCAUCGUAAGAUGUGAGGAAGGUGGGGAUGACGUCAAAUCAGCACGGCCCUUACGUCAAUUCCUUUGAGUUUCACCGUUGC